rnacentral:rRNA from 1 species
UACGUAGGUGGCGAGCGUUUGUCCGGAUUACUGGGCGUAAAGAGCCCGCAGGCGCCUGGCAAGUUUCAGGUGAAAUCUCCCGGCUCAACUGGGAGGGUGCUUGGAAAACUGCCAGGCUUGAGGCAGGGAGAGGGAUGCGGAAUUCCCGGUGUAGAGGUGAAAUUCGUAGAUAUCGGGAGGAACACCAGUGGCGAAGGCGGCGACCUGGACAGAUAUUGACGCUGAGGUGCGAAAGCGUGGGGAGCAAACAGG